GGGAGUUUGGUCUAGUGGUAUGAUUCUCGCUUAGGGACCCGACCAUUGUCGUCUAACCUGCGAGAGGUCGUGGGUUCAAUUCCCGCAACUCCCC
rnacentral:tRNA from 1 species